rnacentral:rRNA from 1 species
AGUGAACGCUGGCGGUAGGCCUAACACAUGCAAGUCGAACGGCAGCACAGUAAGAGCUUGCUCUUACGGGUGGCGAGUGGCGGACGGGUGAGGAAUACAUCGGAAUCUACUUUUUCGUGGGGGAUGACGUAGGGAAACUUACGCUAAUACCGCAUACGACCUACGGGUGAAAGCAGGGGAUCUUCGGACCUUGCGCGAUUGAAUGAGCCGAUGUCGGAUUAGCUAGUUGGCGGGGUAAAGGCCCACCAAGGCGACGAUCCGUAGCUGGUCUGAGAGGAUGAUCAGCCACACUGGAACUGAGACACGGUCAAGACUCCUACGGGAGGCAGCAGUGGGGAAUAUUGGACAAUGGGCGCAAGCCUGAUCCAGCCAUACCGCGUGGGUGAAGAAGGCCUUCGGGUUGUAAAGCCCUUUUGUUGGGAAAGAAAAGCAGCAGGUUAAUACCCCGCUGUUCUGACGGUACCCAAAGAAUAAGCACCGGCUAACUUCGUG